CCAAGAGAAGGAAAUAGAUGCUCAGGAGUGAAAUACCGAGGGAAUCGGAUCUGGCGCCUCCUAACGCAGCGGGCAAGCAGGCGAAGGUCCUGUGUAGAUGGAAGUAUCAAAGUUAGAAAGACCAGCUUACAUAUAGCCUGAGUGUCUGGCUUUGGGCAUUUGGGGAAGACUUCGUGUCUAAAGCUCUGCAUCUUCCCGUGCUAGGAUCCGAAGGAAAUUUGGAAAUAACAGGUGAGUUAAUUAAGGGGUUAACUCCAGAAGGAGAGUCAUAAAAGUUCAAAGAUACUUUCAAAACUUGCAUCUUUCUAUUGAUGGACAUGUGUAUUAACCAAUGGAAAUCAAAACCCAGGCAUUACUUCAUCAUGCUAAGUUGUCAUUGGCUGCCAGUCCCUGAGGGCCGGACAGCAGGGCUGGCCGUUAACCCUUUCAGGGACGAUUUCGCCCUUAACAUUAAUUUUAUUUUGAAAGAUGAAGUAGGAACAGAUGAAAACCUAGAAAGGUCCUCAGACCUUCAAGCAUCACCUUUGGAUCUCACUCCAGGAGGUAGAGUUUCGCUCCACAAAGGAACACCCCCAGGGGAACAGAUUUCCUGGAGAAAAAGUUUUGAACUUUUAAAAUGGGGAAUCAGCUGACCUUGAGGAGGAGAGGGGAGGGGAGAAGUCUGAUUCACUUUUUGUGCUGUCAGAACAGAGACCAGUGUUGUGGACGAUUCCAUUAAUCUUGCAGAGCAAUCAGUCACUGAGAGGAUUGAAUUGCAUUUCCUGCCCCAAAGAUGUAGAGACUGAUGACCUUUGCAGCAGCCCUCAGACCCCCAGCUCACAGCUGGAGAGAGGAUGUGUCAGCAUUUACUUUCGGGUCUCACUCUGCCCUUUGUUCAAAAUUCAAACUCUUUGUGUUCAGGCUGCUGCAGGCCUUUUUGUCGUUGUUGAUGCUGCCGGGUUUUUUUUGUUUUUUUUUUUUUAACCUCCCACGUCUUGCAACUUCUGAGAAUCAAACUCUCUAUUUAGCAGAAGAUAGUAUCUGGAAGUACCCCCAGAGAGGGAACCAGAAUAGACAUGAGGGAAUUUUAAGAGAGGCCAUUGGGCCUUUUGGCUUUCAUUACUGCCCCUUCCUGGGCUCCCUGAGUGCUGCAAGCUGAACCGGAUGGGGCCAGUAGCCCUGCCAGAGUUAACAAGAAUGCCUCAUGUGGACAUGGCUCUAUUAGAAAAAAGCUUUCACCUGCAUCACCUCGGGUAAAAAGGAACUGCUAGAAUAAAAG